rnacentral:rRNA from 1 species
GACGGACGCUGGCGGCGUGCCUAAUACAUGCAAGUCGAGCGGACUUUCAAGAAGCUUGCUUUUUGAAAGUUAGCGGCGGACGGGUGAGUAACACGUGGGCAACCUGCCUGUAAGACGGGGAUAACUCCGGGAAACCGGGGCUAAUACCGGAUAAUAUCUUUCUUCGCAUGAAGGAAGGUUGAAAGGCGGCGCAAGCUGCCGCUUGCAGAUGGGCCCGCGGCGCAUUAGCUAGUUGGUGAGGUAACGGCUCACCAAGGCGACGAUGCGUAGCCCACCUGAGAGGGUGAUCGGCCACACUGGGACUGAGACACGGCCCAGACUCCUACGGGAGGCAGCAGUAGGGAAUCUUCCGCAAUGGACGAAAGUCUGACGGAGCAACGCCGCGUGAGCGAAGAAGGUCUUCGGAUCGUAAAGCUCUGUUGUCAGGGAAGAACAAGUACCGUUCGAAUAGGGCGGUACCUUGACGGUACCUGACCAGAAAGCCACGGCUAACUACGUGCCAGCCGCCGCGGUAA